rfam:Streptomyces griseus subsp. griseus NBRC 13350 DNA, complete genome.
GUGGCGGUCUGCGACCACCGGGCGUCUUCGUCCAGCAGGGCGUGCUCGCCGAAGCGGUCGCCGUCCGCCAGAACGUCCAGGGUGACCUCGUCGCCGUAGCUGCCGGCGGAGGCCUGGCCGAUCCGGCCGUGCGCGAUCAGGUGGAGCUCGUCGGCCGCCGUGCCCCGCUCGACCAGCGUCUCGCCCGCCCGGAAGUCACGCUGGACGCACCGGUCGGCGAUGGCCGACAGCACCUCGGCGUCGUCGAAGUCGCGCAGCAGGGCCAGUUCGCCCAGUUCCUGGGGGAUGACCCGGACCGUGGACCCGUCCUGGACGAACUCCACCCGGCCGUCGCCCACCGUGAAGGUCAGGCGCCGGUUGACCCGGUAGGCGCCACCCUUGGUCUCGACCCAGGGAAGCAUCCGCAGCAGCCAGCGGGAGGUGAUCUCCUGCAUCUGCGGGGCGGACUUGGUCGUGCUGGCGAGGUUGCGGGCGGCGGCCGUACCCAGGCUGGACUGCCGGGGCACUUCCA